GGUCGACUCGAACGUUCACACCAGCCGAAAGCAUUGCAGGCAUGUGGUCUGGCUUUACCGUGGAGUCCACAGUCUAUCGGAUUUACGCACGAGGAAGACUGGCAACAACACAACAAUUCUGUGGAUUCUGCUGAUGCUGCUGAAGUUUAGGACCUCUGUCUCCCUCUAAUGGACAUCCCAAGAAAUUACAGUACUACAGUUCCCACUAGGAAAUGAUGUAGGAAAGUAAACGUCUUCACACCAGCAACAUUACAACUAACCCUUACACUGAACAAUGCUUACCAACUCUACAUUCACUCUACAGUACUGGCAACUCCUAACAUGCUUCACACAAGUCAUUUUUCUAUGGUAAGUGACUAUUUGAAAUACACUAUGUAAGCUCAGUGAAUAUGAGGCCAUUUUUUCUGCCUUCCUGUAGUGAACAUUCCUGGUCAUCCCCAUUUUCCUGGACAGACCUUAGUACACUUGCAGGGUCAGCAAAAGGUUGUCCAGCUUCUGCCAUAAACCCACACUGAUUACAGUUGCAGCAAAAUUGGUUUUGAAAGAAAAGACAGCAGGCUCAGAAAACAGAUGUGGUCCCAGGCGCAGAGGAAUUCUAAUAAUAUUCCAGACUGUUACACUUAAGCUGCUGAUUCUCUCUCUCUUGCCUUCUCCACCUCCCCUUUGCUGCUCUUUUUCGUCUGCCCAUUGUCUCAUGUCCUGUGAUCAUCUGAUGAAUGAAUUUUGAUACAUUUUGAAAAGAAUCUUGCAGGUAUUUGACUAGCUGUAAUUAAGUCGUCUGCAUAGGUCUACUUUUUCAGCACUUUUUUAGUGUCCCAACUUCUAAAGAAAAACAUAUUUUGUCUGAAUGCAUUCCUUCCUCACAUAUGAAUGAGAAUCUUUUACAUAGCCAAUCAUUUGAGGAUCAGCCUCAGUUAUGCAGAAAUAGCCAAAAGGCUUGUCAGGACAAAUCAGGAUCAAUAAAAUCAAUCAAGAUAUGAGUGGGGAGAGUGGAGCCCCUGUCCUGUAUUUCAAACAGAGGAAUCUGGCGAUCCAUGAGCCUCUACAUAGAUAAUGCAGCUAACCAGUGUUAUGUGCUAUUUCAAUCUUCAGACAUCACAUUUCACACACUAAGUGCCUAUGAAAAUGUUCUGUUUAAUACUGAGAAUAGAGAGUGGGCCACUACCAUGAUUCCAUUGAUCACGGCGUUCAGAAAUCUGUCAACACUGUUUUCCAUUUCCAACAGCUUACUCACCUUAUCUCCUUUUCAAGGCAACUGCCCCCUCAAUUAGGACUUGCGCUUGGUCCUGACAAGACUGAUUGAGCCCGCGGAGGAGCCUCCCAUGACAAGUGACUGAUUAACAUGGCAGGGGUGAGGCCUGCAGCAGCCACAGCUCAAGAUGAGAGAUGCCGCCAGGAGAAGUGGGACAAACACAGCCAUCAUUCACUAAUGUCUCAGCAAGGUGUCUAGACAGUCAAACUCCCUUUUUUCAAGCCGUCUCACUGUAUCAGCACUCUCAGGCGAGCGAGCGGUGGACCACGAGGCCCUGGAGGCAGGCUGCUAAAGAAAACACCCCACAAACCCAGACCACGUCCAAACCCAGACCACGUCCAAACCCAGACCACAUCCAAACCCAGGCCACGUCCAAACCCAGCUCACAUCCAAACCCAGGCCACGUCCAACCCCAGGCCACCACCUCUUAAUGGCCCUGUUGGGUCUCUGCCAGCUGCAACAUUAUCUCUGUAUCAUCAGCUUCACUGGCAUCAAUGCUUAUUAGAUGCAGGGCUAGGGAAUCAGUGAAGGAUGUGGUCCAUCUGACGGAGCCAUAGGGCCAUCUGUCAGCCCAGAGCCAUCAGUCACAUCCUGGUUAGGCCAUCGGCCUCCUGCUAAGCCCCAGUAGCGCUCCCCUUCUCUGGACCCUUCCCUGACCUGGGAGAGCACGCAGGGGUGGGAAUACCACCGUACAGUCGCACUCAAUCACACAGAUACUGACCAGAACAGUCUCCGCAUUCUGGAGAAAAGGAGCAGCGAAUGAGCGAAUGAAAGUGAGCAGCGAAUGACCUGAAUGGUGCAGGAUUAUCUGCCCAUGUGCUGCAGAAAUGGAAAAAGGAGCAGACAUGUAGGAAGUGCCCUGUGCACUGUGCACUGAGACUUCUGGCACCAGUCAAUCUUGUCCAUCUUGACUUCCCUAAAAGAAGUCUGACCUGGCGAUAGGAAACACUCAUGUUAUCACGACACAAUUGUUAGGUCUGUGAGUAUCAAAUCCACAGAGCUCAGUCCCUGUAUUAAACUAACUUUGCACAGACUGAAUUAAUCAGUGAGCUGAUGGUUUAUAGCAGACUGAUGUUUGGGGGCAGGGGGUUCUCUUUCUCUCUCCCCCAGUGAUCUGUGCAAUCUAUUUCUCAGGCUGACUAAAUUACCUUCAAUUUCUGGCCAUAUAGGCCAACUGUGUGUACAUUAGCACACUCAAAUGACUCUCAGACUCUCAAAAGUGGAAUUACAGAUGUUUUACACAUUACAACUGGAGCUGGAAUCUAAAUCGGUCAAAAAUGAAGCUUAGAUUUAACAGACAUGGCGUGAAAGCAACUCCACUUGCAGAACACUCUGUAGCAUUUGAUACCAACUGCAUGAAGUAAGUGUAGCAGUGGACACGCCAGUGGCAGCCCUGAAUUGACUUGGUUUGAACCACACCUGAAGAGUGGACAGCUCAUGUGCUUGUACAUCACCUCAACGAGUAGUCCGAGGCACAACUGCUGUGACUCAAAAACAAAGCAGUUAGAGGUCACAGUUGACUGUCAAUGGCGUCAUGGGUUUAAGGCCUCACAUUAUUUGUUUUCCUUCUGUUUCACAGAUCUUAUUCACAUGCUAAAUAAAUGCCAAACCAAAGGUGA